rnacentral:tRNA from 1 species
AAGCCCAGGAAAACUUAGUUUUCUAUUUUAAGUUUGCAACUUAACGUGUCAACACCUCAAGGCU